rnacentral:rRNA from 1 species
UACGUAGGGUGCGAGCGUUGUCCGGAAUUAUUGGGCGUAAAGAGCUCGUAGGCGGUUUGUCGCGUCGGCCGUGAAAUCUCCACGCUUAACGUGGAGCGUGCGGUCGAUACGGGCAGACUUGAGUUCGGUAGGGGAGACUGGAAUUCCUGGUGUAGCGGUGAAAUGCGCAGAUAUCAGGAGGAACACCGAUGGCGAAGGCAGAUCUCUGGGCCGUAACUGACGCUGAGGAGCGAAAGCAUGGGGAGCGAACAGG